UGGGACCCGGAGCUGGGCCUGACCCUUGGGCUAGUGCUGGUCCCAGACCUGCCCUGGGACUGGAUGUGGGCCUCGCCCCGUAUCCGCAGGGAUGCCUGUGCUCCCAGCUCCUCCUGACCCCCCAGCAGAGCUCCAAGGACACCCUCUGUCUUUGCUGACUUCCUUCCCAUGUUUGCCGCAGCCUGGAGCUCUUUGUGGCCAUGGGUGUUCCAGUGCCUGAUGUGGCCGGGAGAGAAGAUAUUAACAGAGAGAUCCAGAUCCAUUCAUCCAGUGAAUUAAUGUUAAAUAAAGAGAAAUCCAGUCCCCAA